GCGCCGGGGCUGCUGGGCGCCGCCAUGUUGUGGUGGGCCGCGUUUCCCUCCUCACCUCAGGCCUUUCCCUGCGCGCCUCAGGCCUUUCCCUCCUCACCUCAGGCCUUUCCCUCCUCGCAGGCCCCAAGGGGCCGGUUUCACCCCCCUCCAGGCCGGCAACAACCUCAUUUAGCCUUGAAAGUCGGACGGCCGGAGCAGCAGCUGCCCUCCCGGCCGGGGGUGGAGGCACCGCUCCUGUGCAGUCGGGUCGAUCUCCACGAGGUGGCGGUGGCUCGUCACGGGAGGCUUCGGGCAAACUCCCUUCGUGUUUACCUGCCGGCCUCGCGGGCGCUGAAAGCGUGGCGGCAUCCAUCCGUGUUUAAGAAUAAACUUGCGGACCAGUGCUUUUUCGUUACUCCACACGCAUGGAUAGAAAAGCUCGGAGGUUAUAAGACACAUAAGCGAUGUCUUUGCCAAUGCGCGAGUGCUCUACUCGGGCUCAUUUGGCUCCCAGGUGAAGAAGUUGCUAGAGCUUUUCUUGGCUGUAGCGAGCAUCAGCCUUUUUGCACUCAUGAACGUCUGUCCUGCUCUAGCUAUAAUUUGUGACGCAACAUUUGACAGGCAAAUAGGUUGAACCAGUGUUUGUACUGUUUACUGAUUUGUCACAUCUACACUAGUGUCUUCUACUACUCUGUCUCUGAAGUCAUCAAGUGCCACAAUGUGUAUUUAUGUUCCUGCGUACAGCAUAUUCCCUUCAUCUUUAAUGUAUUGGGUGCUGAAUGUGGAAAACAUACAUUCAGGAACUAACCUUUCUGUAACAGAACUAUUACAUUUUUUUGUGCACCUUACCUCCCAAAGGUCAGUCUAGUGCCUUAGUGUUGAAAGCAAAACCAUUGUCACCUGCUUUCAUCUGAGUGUUUAAUGCUGUUGACUCAACAACCUGUCUUCUCCAGAUCCAGACUGUCCUCACACACAGUGGUUGUGAUACCUUUGUGGAUGCGUAAGAAUGAGUAAGAGUUGGAAUUGUAAUUGUCUUUAACCGGCAUGUAUCAAAAGUGCACUCAGAUACUUGCUUCCAUGAUCAUUAGAAAUGAGUGUGGUUUUUCUUUCAGGGUGUAUUGGAUGGGCAACAACGACAACAUCAAAAUUAUGCUAAUAGUCUUUCUGGUAGCAAGACUUAACUGUGGGCCAGCUGAAAGAGUAACUAAGUUGUAAGAUUUCUGUAAGGAAGUCUGUGUUGAGGCUAUGUAGGAAAAGCGUGAACACAACAGGAAAUGGUGUGUAUAUAGCAAAAUUUUUCAUGCCACUUGGAAUAGCUGAUUUCAAGUGGUAACAUGUAUAAUAUGGCAGAACGCAAUGAGCUUAGAGUGAGUGUCUGCGAUAAAGUCAUACUGUGGGAGUAAUUUUUGCACUUCUCUGACAAUUGCCAAGGAUAAAUCUGUAUAUCUGUGACUGGCAAUAUAACAGCUUUGGUAUGUUAUCUGUAAACAGCACUUCUUAUUUUUAUAUAUUGAACCAAUUUUGAUCACAAUGUCUCCUACUUAUGUUGAGAAAACUUCUUGUGUACCAAGAAAUACAGGAGCAAUUACGUUCAGCUUUUAAUACUCUCUGUUCCUCUGACAGAUGAGUAAACAUUCCAGCCCUGUUGUUACAAAGUUAUCAAAACCCAGAAGAAUUUCCCAGGGUCAUAGAUAUCAGCCUAGAAGUCAGAGAGCCGGAGUGCCUGACUUCUGGUUUCACAAUCGGUGCAUGAAUUCACGCGUCAGUAAUCUCAUCAGCUGUAGACUGGGUCUGCAGCAAUUUUGUCUGGCAAUAGGGUAGGAAGGAGUACUGAAAACACAGAAUGCGUGACUACAUCUGAUGUAGUUAACAGGAUAAAUUGGUUAAUCAGGAAAUGAAAUAGCUUUUGCUUCCCCCCCCCCCCCCCCCCCGUAAGGAAUUUGCUGUUUACCUUGUUGACUGAAUCGUUCUGACUCAAAGACAGUUUGCUUACGCUGGUCUUCUCCUGACCUUCAGCACCGGGGUGAAGUUCACCUUUUGUCCUCUUUGUAUUUCCUCAUGUAAUAGGGGAAGUAAUCGUUCGCAUUCUUUUCUGCCUUUGGGCCAGGGUAUUUAGGCUGCUGCUCAACAGGAAAUGAACAGGAAAGAAUUUUUGUCAUAGAUUACUCCAAACCUUGGGUCUUGGGUGGAUGGAUAGGAUUUUCCCUUACAGCUCAAGGGUAGGAAUUUAGCACGACUGCCUACACUCUGUUCCUGAGGAAACACAUUAAGCAGCUGGACUUCCGACGGCAGCAGCAUUUGGUGGAGGGACUCCUUAGAUGGUGUUAUCUGUGUAAGUGCAAAUGCUCACUGACAUCAUUAACACGCCAUGUCACCGUAAUGCCAGGCAGAGGGGGCUAGCCUCUGUACCCUCACAUCGCUGAGAGAAAGCUGAGCUGCCCAGAAAUAUUUCCUGAUCGAGCUGAGCUUGCCGAGACAGGACCUCCCUGCCAUAACCCCCUUCUGCCUGCCAUAAACACAUUUCUUAAGGAAACUCUCAGAGCUGCCCCAUGUUCCAGCUUCUGGGCUGCACAUUUAGUGACCCUCCCGUGCCUUUUCCUAGCGAUAUGCCAGUGUAAAUGGGAUUUUGCUCUGCGGCACUGCUCUCCUACAUCAAACGAGUUAUUUCUGAUACCACGCGGUUAUUUCUGCCAGAGUAGUAGCAGUGUCAACUUUGCCAUCACACCGAAGACACUGUGAGAUGAGCACCGGUUGCAAUCAGAGAACUUAAAGCAGCCGUGAAGGCACAGCCCUGAAUUAAGCUUGGGGAGAGCUGAGUUAACAAAAAGGAAGGUCCACCAGGAGACAGUGCCUUCAAAGGACAGGUUUGCAUGAAAAUAAAUGCAGCGUAGCAGCACGGAGUUAGCCCUGCUAGGCGAUGGAUGAACCUCAUCUUCUGGUUUUGUUGGGUUCAUGAUUGACAGAGCUGUGUAAGAACCUGCUGCUCUCCCCAUACGAACCUGUCCCAGGUGAUGUACCACCCUCCUUCCUCCCCCUUGCCAGACUCCCAAACUGCAGUGUCUGUUCUUGAAAAUAUUAGGUGAUAUGAUGCCUCGGUCUAAGCUAGACAGUUAAGUAGCCCUGUGCAGACCAGGAGUUGAUUUCUGACAAGCCCUCUAUUCUAACUACUUGGGGAUGCAGUGGUUAUGACUUACGGACCUAGAAGGAUUCUGGGGAUGUGUGCACCCUUGGAGAGUUUUGCUGCUGUAGCAAUACUAAAAUGUGAAGAGGAUCUAGGACUCAGGCCAAAUCUUGCCAUGAAAUAAAUUUAUUUUUCCUUCAGCAAUAGGCAUCAUGGAAGACUUGCCAUUAUAAAUCAUACUAUAAUGGAAAAUUUGCUCUUGCCCACAAAUUUUCUGCAGAAAGUAUCUGAUGAAAUUUGGUCUGAAAAUCUUUUCCAAUAAGAAAUACAAAUUUUUUGUAUGUGCAAAAAAAUCUGUCGGUUAUCAGCUCUUGGUGACUUGGGAACUGCCGUGGCAGUAUAUGUGGAUUGCUGACAGCCCUCACAUGAGGUAUAAUCCUGACCACCUGGGGCUUUGCCAGAGUAAACCAGUUUCUCUUCAAGCAGUGUUUUCACAGAGAUCUCUACCAGUAAAACAUCUUUCCUCUCUUUGUUGACGAUUUGCCAUUUUAAUAACACUGUCUUUUAUCAAAUCUCCAUCAAUGAGGCAAUAGCUGUCCACCACAGACCUUAAGUGUGGAUCAGGACUGGGAUCCAGUAGGUCGUGACAUCAGGCUUCGGAAGAGCAGGGGUCUGUAAUUUCUCUCCGAGAUCCUCAUUAACCAAACCAAAGCUGAGCUGUGCUACUGGUGGGUAUACAGAAUCCCAAGUGCGAGGAGCCUGAUGUGAAGCACUCGAAGGGCAGGAGGUGGAGGUGAGCCUGGAAAGAUGGAAAAAGAGGGUUUCUGCUUGGGUAGAGGAUUCAUGUGCAGUUUCAGAUCAACACGACGCCUUUUUCCCACGGAGUGGUGUCGGUAUGAAAUGAGGUUUGAGGGGUGGCAGGUAUAUGCUAACAAAAGCCCAGAUCUUGAUGGAGUCACAAAACCUUUUUGCUCCCCCCCGCUACCAUGGUGGUUUGCUGGAGUAGCUUUGCUGUGAACCUGUCACCAGGCUGGGCUGUGCCAGCGAGAAGGGGCAUAGGAUUUGUAUUGUACAGAAAUUAUGGGAACAUUAAAGCCUCCUUUUAUCCAUACUGAAAACCUUUAUUUGUGCAAAUAGUAUUCAUGGAAAUUAUGCAGCUACACUAAAGAGAGGCCCUUUAAGAAUGUGUCUCUGAAAACACAGGCUCCUUUGCCAAGAAAUAAUGGGACUUCCUUAAUUAUCAGCUGUUAUCUUCUGGUUUUGGCAAACUUUUGUUGCUUUAUGUGCUGCUGUUUCUUUUAUGCUUUGACAUUAAUGAAUUGGAAUUGAAAUUAUGUGCUGAGGAAAACAAAG
ensembl:lncRNA uncharacterized LOC115336361